rnacentral:tRNA from 1 species
AAGGCUUUAAGUUAAACUAAACUAAAAGCCUUCAAAGCUUUAAAUAAAGAAGUAAUCUUUAAGCCUUA